CACGUGCCGCAAGUACAUUUUUUUGUGUGUUUUUAAGCUCGUCAAGGGGGGAUGAUUUUCAUUGGUGAUAAUUAUUUUCUUUCAACAACAGUUGGGAAGACUCAUUGGUUAUAAUAAUUUGAAGAUAUCAAUUUGGCUUUUAAAUAAAUACAUUUAUAAGAGUGAACACUUAAAAGUUUUGCCAAUCAAAAACUACCAGAAUUUCGUUGAGCAGUAUCCAACAAUGUCUGUGACCAGCAUUACUUUCCUCCUUGCCGCCUUGGUGACUGUCAGUGUUGUCAUUCAAGUGAUAGAUGCACAAGGUUUUUGUCCAGGUUCACGGAACUGUACAUUGACAAGACGAGACAGGGAUGAAUCAUGCAA